rnacentral:rRNA from 4 species
AGAGUUUGAUCCUGGCUCAGGAUGAACGCUGGCGGCGUGCCUAAUACAUGCAAGUCGAGCGAACGGACGAGAAGCUUGCUUCUCUGAUGUUAGCGGCGGACGGGUGAGUAACACGUGGAUAACCUACCUAUAAGACUGGGAUAACUUCGGGAAACCGGAGCUAAUACCGGAUAAUAUUUUGAACCGCAUGGUUCAAAAGUGAAAGACGGUCUUGCUGUCACUUAUAGAUGGAUCCGCGCUGCAUUAGCUAGUUGGUAAGGUAACGGCUUACCAAGGCAACGAUGCAUAGCCGACCUGAGAGGGUGAUCGGCCACACUGGAACUGAGACACGGUCCAGACUCCUACGGGAGGCAGCAGUAGGGAAUCUUCCGCAAUGGGCGAAAGCCUGACGGAGCAACGCCGCGUGAGUGAUGAAGGUCUUCGGAUCGUAAAACUCUGUUAUUAGGGAAGAACAUAUGUGUAAGUAACUGUGCACAUCUUGACGGUACCUAAUCAGAAAGCCACGGCUAACUACGUGCCAGCAGCCGCGGUAAUACGUAGGUGGCAAGCGUUAUCCGGAAUUAUUGGGCGUAAAGCGCGCGUAGGCGGUUUUUUAAGUCUGAUGUGAAAGCCCACGGCUCAACCGUGGAGGGUCAUUGGAAACUGGAAAACUUGAGUGCAGAAGAGGAAAGUGGAAUUCCAUGUGUAGCGGUGAAAUGCGCAGAGAUAUGGAGGAACACCAGUGGCGAAGGCGACUUUCUGGUCUGUAACUGACGCUGAUGUGCGAAAGCGUGGGGAUCAAACAGGAUUAGAUACCCUGGUAGUCCACGCCGUAAACGAUGAGUGCUAAGUGUUAGGGGGUUUCCGCCCCUUAGUGCUGCAGCUAACGCAUUAAGCACUCCGCCUGGGGAGUACGACCGCAAGGUUGAAACUCAAAGGAAUUGACGGGGACCCGCACAAGCGGUGGAGCAUGUGGUUUAAUUCGAAGCAACGCGAAGAACCUUACCAAAUCUUGACAUCCUUUGACAACUCUAGAGAUAGAGCCUUCCCCUUCGGGGGGGCAAAGUGACAGGUGGUGCAUGGUUGUCGUCAGCUCGUGUCGUGAGAUGUUGGGUUAAGUCCCGCAACGAGCGCAACCCUUAAGCUUAGUUGCCAUCAUUAAGUUGGGCACUCUAAGUUGACUGCCGGUGACAAACCGGAGGAAGGUGGGGAUGACGUCAAAUCAUCAUGCCCCUUAUGAUUUGGGCUACACACGUGCUACAAUGGACAAUACAAAGGGCAGCGAAACCGCGAGGUCAAGCAAAUCCCAUAAAGUUGUUCUCAGUUCGGAUUGUAGUCUGCAACUCGACUACAUGAAGCUGGAAUCGCUAGUAAUCGUAGAUCAGCAUGCUACGGUGAAUACGUUCCCGGGUCUUGUACACACCGCCCGUCACACCACGAGAGUUUGUAACACCCGAAGCCGGUGGAGUAACCUUUUAGGAGCUAGCCGUCGAAGGUGGGACAAAUGAUUGGGGUGAAGUCGUAACAAGGUAGCCGUAUCGGAAGGUGCGGCUGGAUCACCU